rnacentral:sRNA from 1 species
GCAUAUCAAUAAGCGGAGGAAAAGAAACCAACUGGGAUUGCCCUAGUAACGGCGAGUGAAGCGGCAACAGCUCAAAUUUGAAAUCUGGCUCUCUGUUUUUGGGGGGGUCCGAGUUGUACUUUGCAGAGGGUGCUUUGGCGUUGGUGGCGGUCUAAGUUCCAUGGAACUGGUCAUCGCAGAGGGUGAGAGUCCCGUAUGUGGUCGCCCGCCUUCGCUGUGUAAAGCCCCUUCGACGAGUCGCGUUGUUUGGGAAUGCAGCGCUAAAUGGGAGGUAAAUUUCUUCUAAAGCUAAAUACCGGCCAGAGACCGAUAGCGCACAAGUAGAGUGAUCGAAAGAUGAAAAGCACUUUGGAAAGAGAGUCAAAUAGCACGUGAAAUUGUUGAAAGGGAAGCGCUUGCAGCCAGACGUGCCUGCAGAAGCUCAGCCGGAGGGGCUUUGGCCCCCCCGGUGCACUCUUCUGCGGGCAGGCCAGCAUCAGUUUGGGCGGCUGGAGAAUGGCCUCUGUCACGUAUCUCCUAUGCCUCGCAAGAGGGGGAUGGCCUUAUAGGGGAGGCGGAGUGCAGCCAGCCUGGACUGAGGCGUCCCGCGCCGCUGUUUGGCAGCUAGGAUGCUGGCAUAAUGGCUGCAAGCGGCCCGUCUUGAAACACGGAC